UCCGGAUCGCAGUCUGCAACUCGACUGCGUGAAGUCGGAAUCGCUAGUAAUCGCGAAUCAGAAUGUCGCGGUGAAUACGUUCCCGGGCCUUGUACACACCGCCCGUCACACCAUGGGAGUGGGUUGCACCAGAAGUAGCUAGUCUAACCUUCGGGGGGACGGUUACCACGGUGUGAUUCAUGACUGGGGUGAAGUCGUAACAAGGUAGCCGUAGGGGAACCUGCGGCUGGAUCACC
rnacentral:rRNA from 1 species